rnacentral:rRNA from 1 species
AUGGGAACGCGAAGAACCUUACCUACUCUUGACAUCCAGAGAACUUUCCAGAGAUGGAUUGGUGCCUUCGGGAACUCUGAGACAGGUGCUGCAUGGCUGUCGUCAGCUCGUGUUGUGAAAUGUUGGGUUAAGUCCCGCAACGAGCGCAACCCGUUAUCCUUUGUUGCCAGCGGUUUAGGCCGGGAACUCAAAGGAGACGUGCCAGUGAUAAACUGGAGGAAGGUGGGGAUGACGUCAAGUCAUCAUGGCCCUUACGAGUAGGGCUACACACGUGCUACAAUGGCGCAUACAAAGAGAAGCGACCUCGCGAGAGCAAGCGGACCUCAUAAAGUGCGUCGUAGUCCGGAUUGGAGUCUGCAACUCGACUCCAUGAAGUCGGAAUCGCUAGUAAUCGUAGAUCAGAAUGCUACGGUGAAUACGUUCCCGGGUCUUGUACACACCGGGUCUUGUACACAGUCGGUGGGGGG